CACGUAGGAGGCAAACGUUAUCCGGAUUUACUGGGCGUAAAGCGCGUGUAGGUGGUUCUGUAAGUAGGGCGUGAAAGCUCCCGGCUCAACUGGGAGAGGCCGUUCUAAACUGCAGAGCUAGAGGAUGGUAGAGGGAGGUGGAAUUCCGGGUGUAGCGGUGGAAUGCGCAGAUAUCUGGAGGAACACCAGUGGCGAAGGCGGCCUCCUGGACCAUUCCUGACACUCAGACGCGAAAGCUAGGGUAGCAAACGGGAUUAGAUACCCAUGUAGU
rnacentral:rRNA from 1 species